UCCUUGAGCAAUGGGCAUGCGAAAAUACCCAAUACUGAAGAGCUUCCUUUGCCUAUGCGCAUCCCGCUGCUUAGUAAGUUUGUGCUCUGUGACGUGUGUAGUUAUCUGCCAUGAUCUCUGGGCCGCCAUUGGAUAACCAGAUAGACUGCAAGUGGAGAUAUAUAAUUUACCAGGCUGCUGCUCUAUCACCAAACGAACCUGCUCCUCGUCACUCCACAUCAGAUUGAUUUUGAUGCUCUUAUCAAUUAAUCUCAUAACUACUAGCACAAGACUACAUAGCAAGGGGUUGAGAACCUAAUUCCAAACAAAGCAACCACACUGUUGUGCCACAACUGCCAAGGAAGAUGCACAAAUUUUGCUGCUGGCAGAUGGUGAAGAACCCCCAAAAAAUGUUAUGGAGAUGAUAAGUUGGUGACUCCAACUAGAUGCAUCAAUGACUAUGAUAAGAAAGCGUAUCUAGGAUGCUGGCAUCCACUGCAGGGUUCCAGCAAAGAGGCUCAUUGGGACAUACAACUGCAGUUUACUCAGCUGCACAAAAAUCAAGUUCUUGGCUUUUUUUUUGGUCAACUGUUGUUUUCAUGGACAAGAAAAUGUUAUGCUCUUCAGACCAUGACCAGGUGCAAUUCUGGAGGAGAAACAACACAAGAUUCAACCAAAGAAACAUUUGUGAGGAGACAAGGAGCAACCAUGUCACCUGCAAUAUAUUUGGUCAUAUUACAAUUCACGGUAUGGGCAACAAAAUCAGGCUUGAAGGGUGUUUCACUGCAGUAAAGUAUUUAGAAAUCUUAGAACAAUUCCUCUUACCAUCUCAACAGAAACAUUUUCUUUGUUGGCUUGAGCCUUUCAUUUAUGUACAGGAUGGAAGUCCUAUUCACAUGGCAAGGGCUGUUAGAGAGUGGUUUCAGAACCUCCCUCAUGAAAUUCAAAUACUUGCAUGGUCCCUAAGAGAUUGCGAUUGCAACCCAAUAGAAAAUACGUAC
rnacentral:misc_RNA from 1 species